UACGAGGGGGGCGAGCGUUGUUCGGAAUUAUUGGGCGUAAAGGGUGCGUAGGCGGUUUGGUAAGUCUGAUGUGAAAUCUAUGGGCUCAACUCAUAGUCUGCAUCGGAAACUGCCGGGCUUGAGUAUGGGAGAGGUGAGUGGAAUUCCUGGUGUAGCGGUGAAAUGCGUAGAUAUCAGAAGGAACACCUGUGGCGAAAGCGGCUCACUGGACCAUAACUGACGCUGAUGCACGAAAGCUAGGGGAGCAAACAGG
rnacentral:rRNA from 1 species